GAGAGGUUGCGUCGCUGCCGCUCGUUUCCUACCCACACCUUACCUGUGGGCUGUGCUCGGUCCUUCUUUCUCCAUGGCGAACUACACCGGCGGCAGCGGGGAUGACCAGGCGCGGUGGUUCCCGCGCUCGUCAUGCUCCACAAGCUGAACCUACCAGUGUAGAUGGUGGCCCGGGUUGGGGCCGACAAGGAGGCGGCCACACUACGUGAGACGGUCAACUGCAUCUUCAACCUCCAGAUGGUCACCCCGACGACGCUGGUGCCCCGCGAGCGGUAUCCCACAUGUACCUCGCCGCGACGCAACCCUUGCUCUGUCUUCCAUCAAUCACUUUGAGGUGUACAUGAUGACGUGGAGGCACACAACCACCGCCGUAUACGACGGACACACAACUCGGUAAUGGUGGUUCCAGGACCAACACCUCCCGCAACUGCUCCUCCUCUUGGUUGUUGUGGUGCGCUGGUAGCUUCUUCAUCUUCUGUAUGUAUGAUCUGAUCAUACUGAACAUGUAUCUGUUGGAUCACUAGAAGUCCCCGUUCCCUCCUGACUUCCAGUUACAUCUACACUACUCCAAGAUCCAGAGGCGCGCCAUUGUCGCGGUAGAUGGCAGCAGCAAGGGCGACAAGGCGGAGGAGGGAGGUAGAGCGUUCAGCCCAUCCAGGUUACGACCACCAAAUCGGCGUUGAUAUCAUUCGUGCUGGUGCUGCCACACUUCGCGGAGGUGCUGGCCAGCCGACACAUACGUGGAAUUUAUCACGGGAACCUACCUAUAUCCAAGCACUUCUCUGAGGCAUUGUACACCUUCCGUCUCGGCCAAAACGAUCACACCAUAGGCUACUCGGCCAAUAUGACCACCGAACAGAUUGAAGCCUAUGACAACGAUCUCGUGGAGCAAUGCAGGUACAGUUAAAACUAACUUGCUCAUAGUCUCGCUCAUAGCCGUGAAAAAGCAAGUGCCGAUUCUUUAAAACAACAUCAAGUUGCACAAUAACGUCAAGUUCUGAUUCAUGCUUGCUUCGAAUUCUUGGUUCACGAAAAGAAUUUGUAACUUUAUCCUGUAGAUUGGUUCAUGCUCCAUAUUUUGAUAAAAUUGACAAAUGUCAGAUUUGAUUCGUUAGAUUCGGUUCAUGAAUGCAAGCACAUCCAAUCAUCAUCAUCUUAAUUUGGGCUCUAGCGCUCUGCUCUUUUUGUGAGGAAUGUGGUCAGCAUUGCUGCACAACACAUCGAUGGUGGUAGAAACAACACCCAAAAGGAGCGACGUCACAAAGAUGGAGGACGCGAGCUGAGCUGACCCAUUGCCAAUUUGCCAUGGAAGCAACAUGAGCCACAUUGAAGCCUGUGGCCAAGAAGGUUCUUAUCAAGACCGCAGCUUGCCCUGAGCAGGCCACGAAGAACGUCACUGACUCUGAUAAGCAUAGGAAGCCGUUAGAGGAUGUUGUCGGUGGCUCUACCCUCGAAAAUCUGCAAGAAGAAGGUCAUCAACUAGCUGACCUCUGUGCUCAACCAUUGGCCCAAGGUGAGAAAUCCGAUUCAUCAAAAAUCUAUCUCCUUUAGUUACUGCUCGCGGGUUGUGUAUCACCUCAGCUGAUUUCAGUGCCUUGAGCUUUGCUUGCGUUUGUGAAUGGCAUCACAUGAGCGGGAUGAGAUCAAGAAGUUCAACAGCAAAAUGAGCUCACCAUUGUCGAGUGUUUACUACAUCUAGGUCAUCUACAAGUACUAGAAGGAAUCAUAUGUAACUACAACCAUCCUCUUCAUCAUGUCUUUUAUUUUGCAGGUAUCAUGUUUUUUAUGUUUACGGGUAGCAUUUAUGUUAAAGGCAAUUCUUUAAUCCUUUCUGAGCUGAAAUACAAGAAUGUAAUCACUUAAUUAGUGUAUGAUGGAGUGUUUGCUGAUACAAAGCAAUAUUUAUGUGAAGCCUCACUAAUGUAAACUAAAGACAAACUAUUUGG